GUACACACCGCCCGUCACACCAUGGGAGUGAGGGAUACCAGAAGUAGGAGGGCUAACCCGCAAGGGGGGCAUCUUACCACGGUAUGAUUUAUGAUUGGGGUGAAGUCGUAACAAGGUAGCUGUAGGUGAACCUGCAGAAGGAUCA
rnacentral:rRNA from 1 species